rnacentral:sRNA from 1 species
AGCUAAUAUUAAAUAGAUCUGACUGCCAAGUCUGUUUCUCAACAGGUAUUGGCGUUAUGCCAAGUUGACAUGAACUCCAGGCUCUGUUCUGGCCUCUAUAUGCUCCUAUUCCUAGGUGGAAAUUGUUGGCAGAGAGAAGCGAGCUUCUGAAAGUCCCAAAAUACUAGCGCAGUACUAAUGGGGGCCACGAGGAUGUCACUCCCGCAGUAAUAAUUUAAGAAUUGGGAAUAUAGUUAACUAUUUGGUUUUGCUUAUGAAAUUCCGGACUACAAUAUCAACUGGUUAAGGCUGCUGCAAGAUGUGUUCCAUGAAUUAGCUAGUAGUGAU